rnacentral:rRNA from 1 species
CUAAUACCGGAUAAGAAAGACGGAUCGCAUGAUCAGCUUUUAAAAGGCGGCGUAAGCUGUCGCUAUGGGAUGGCCCCGCGGUGCAUUAGCUAGUUGGUAAGGUAAAGGCUUACCAAGGCGAUGAUGCAUAGCCGAGUUGAGAGACUGAUCGGCCACAUUGGGACUGAGACACGGCCCAAACUCCUACGGGAGGCAGCAGGC